GCAAGCACUUUGCCAGAACUAUCUGCCUAUGGGAGGCUUUUGGAAGGUUUGGGGGCAGGGAUUUAUCUUCUGAGCUUGGCGAGUUGAACUGAUGCGGAAGGGAGGUUGCUACGGAAAAGAUUACCGCACGUGAGCAUGGAAACUGGAGAAGGGGAGAGCUCCCGUGCGUUGCGACAAGGGACAGUCAACACCGCUCUGCUCUCAGGACAGCGCACUCUUCCAGCUUGGAAGCUCCACUGAAUUCAAGAAAUACUUCUCUCCAGACAUUCAGCCGCAACGAUACAAACACUGCCAAUGUACUCAGCAAUUUCAUUUGAAGAGGAGCCUUCAGGAGGAUUUAUUUUCCUGUUAGACCGCCUCAUUCUCCAGGAAGAACUGGCAGAACUCAGAGAGCAGAGCAGCAACUUUCCUCCUUUCCAAGCACAUCAUUCUGCUUUGGUUGAUACCAAAAGCCACCCAGAGCACACAGAAGACAUGCUCAGACAGAAACCGCAGGCACGCUUCACCUCCAGACACUUAUUCAAGUUCUCUUUUAAAAGAACCACCCUCCUCUACUCUCCAAGGCACAAACAGAGAACCCAGCUCUUCCCCGCUUUAUCUCCUUCCUUACAGCCCAGGAACCCCAGCACAACAAAGCCAUCACACAGAGGAGCCACUCAGGCACACAGAGAAGAGACCCCUUCACCAGAAGCAGCUCCCCCCCACACCCC